rnacentral:rRNA from 1 species
AUGACCAAUGAAGAGGUUGACCAUAUGUACGGUCACUGCUCUAACCUCACAUCAGAUGGCGUGAACCGGCACCAAGGCAACUUCACAGAUGGCGUUGUUGUUGCACGCGACAACCUCCCAAUGUAUGUGGACUGGCGCAUGAUGGGGUAUGAUCAACGCCCAUCGGCGGUGACAAGCAUGAAGCGGCAAAAUGGUUGUCGGGCCUGUUGGGCCUUUGCGGCGACGGCGGCCGUGGAGGGCAUCAACUCCAUUAGGACAAGGAAUUUGAUUCCAUUGUCCGCGCAACAACUCGUAGACUGCGACAAGAAAUAUUUCGGCUGCCGUGGCGGCAACGCGCAAUUGGCCUUCAAGUACAUAGUGGAAAACGGCGGCAUCACCAGCGAUGCUAACUACCCGUAUGUUGCCUUUGAGCAGGGUCGUUGCUUAGUGCCAAAAAAGAACCCCAUCAUCACCAUCGACGACUUCAGACGGGUGCCGCCAAAUGAUGAACUAGCCUUGAUGCAGGCGGUGGCGUCCCAACCAGUCGUUGUGGUAGUCGACCCGAAUGGCUUCCGGCGAUAUGGGGGAGGCGUAUUUGUGGGGCCGUGUGGGACGAAUCUGACCCAUGAAAUGACAGUGGUGGGCUACGGCACCACCGAUGAGCAUGACCCCAAGAGACGUUUAGACUACUGGAUCAUAAAGAACUCAUGGGGGGCAAAAUGGGGUGAAAACGGUUACAUCCGCAUGGCACGCAGCGUGAGCGGUCUCACCAGGGAGGGAUUAUGUGGCAUCCUGAUGGAAGCGUCAUACCCAGUGAAAAAUUAA